rnacentral:rRNA from 1 species
AUUGAACGCUGGCGGCAGGCCUAACACAUGCAAGUCGAGCGAGCGGCGGACGGGUGAGUAAUGUCUGGGAAACUGCCUGAUGGAGGGGGAUAACUACUGGAAACGGUAGCUAAUACCGCAUACCAUCAGAUGUGCCCAGAUGGGAUUAGCUAGUAGGUGGGGUAACGGCUCACCUAGGCGACGAUCCCUAGCUGGUCUGAGAGGAUGACCAGCCACACUGGAACGUAUCCACGGUCCAGAUUCUUACGUGAGGCAUCAGUGGGGAAUAUUGCACAAUGGGCGCAAGCCGGAUGCAGCCAUGCCGCGUGUGUGAAGAAGGCCUUCGGGUUGUAAAGCACUUUCAGCGGGGAGGCGUUACCCGCAGAAGAAGCACCGGCUAACUCCGUGCCAGCCGCCGCGGUAAUUC